GCUCGAUUUCUAUCUUCGAUCUGGAAAGGGCGAAAAUACUGGAAGGCAUACUUUUUCAUUGCACCCAUAUAUAUUUACUGUAUUAUUUUACACAUUAUUUAAAAAUUGAUACAAUUUUCGUGCGAUUUCUAAUUUUAGGGGUGCUACAUUCACAAAGAUGCUAUAAUUUCACAUUACGCACGUUGGUCUAUAAUAGGCUAUAAUAGACUACAGAAUUAUGUAUUAUACAUAUGUAAAUCUUUCGACAGUGACUCUAUCAUAAAUAAUGUAAGGAUGAUUGCCAUGUGAUAAUUACAAACAUAAAAAAUUUAUUUUUGUUAAUAAUCUUAUAAGGAAAUUGAAUUUUGUCUUGUUCUUUAAUAACGACUUCUGUGGAACAUUAAUAUUCUAAUAAUGCAAGGCAUCCUCCUUCAUUAUGACAAUAUUCAGAAAUAUUGUCAUCUAAUGACUGUUUUCUUCAAGUAGUAUGGUUUAAAUAAUAAUAUAUGUAGUAUAAUAGAUUCUGUAAUACAUAUAUUAGAUUUAUAUCUACAUUACAAUUUAUUUUUAUAUUCUUAUUUUUAAAUUUAUUAUAUAUAUAACUGCAUGAUUUUAUUUAAAACACUUUUUCUUAAGCAAAAACUAGCGCAUCUGUUAGAUGAUAUAUUGAAAUAGAUACUUACUUUACUCGUAUAGGUGUAUCACUUUUUAUAAUUUUGUGAAAUAUGACUGUCAGAGAAACUUUAAAUUUUUUGAACAAGAUUAUACAAUGUACGAUUGGUGUCAACAAUAUUGAACAAAUGCCAGAUAAGUAACAUAGAGAAAAAAUUUGAUGUAAAAAGUGAAAUUAAUAAAAUAUUGAAUUUAUUAUUUUUCAAGGUAUUCAGAGUCUAAACCAUAGAUCUGAUCUGCAAGAAGAAGUAUUUGCAUACGAUAGGCUAAAUUAUCCAUCUCUAAGUGAAUUGUCUUGACCGCAGAUUAAUCAAUCAUUACUUCACAACAGAGAGUGCAGACAACAACGUCAACGACAGUGACGACAAUGACGAUGGAAACUUAGUAAUUGUUUUCGGUGUACAUCAUUUGACUGUGAGAGACGAGGACAUUCUCUCAUUAAGAGAUGCACCACCUACGUAUUCCUCAAUAUUUCGCGAUUUGCUAUCACACGAAUUUACUUUUUUGAUAAAUGAUUUACCACCCAGUUAUAAUCAAGCGCAAGGAAUUAGUCUCACGGAAACUUCGGUGGAUUUAUCUAUCUCUAUAUCCCAUAAAAUAAUCUUGAAAUAUUUUAAUGAUAAGAGCUCUAAAUAAUUAUUUUGUAACAACAUUUAUAUGUUUGUAUAUUUACGAUCAGAUAUUUUGUUGAAAUUUUUCUAAGAAAGUUUUAUCGAUAAUUAUCUAAUUUAUAUGACAAUUGAACUUAAAGUCAACAAGUAUUUAACGGCGUGUAAAAGGACUUUUUUUAAUUUUAAAUUAAAUUUUCUCCAAGGAAAAAGAAAA